UACGUAGGGGGCAAGCGUUGUCCGGAUUCAUUGGGCGUAAAGAGCGUGUAGGCGGCCAGGUAGGUCAGCUGUGAAAACUCGAGGCUCAACCUCGAGACGCCGGUUGAAACCAUCUGGCUAGAGUCCGGAAGAGGAGAGUGGAAUUCCUGGUGUAGCGGUGAAAUGCGCAGAUAUCAGGAAGAACACCCGUGGCUAAGGCGGCUCUCUGGGCCGGAACUGACGCUGAGGAGCGAAAGCGUGGGUAGCAAACAGG
rnacentral:rRNA from 1 species